GAUCAUAUCUCGUACGUUAGGACA
rnacentral:miRNA from 1 species